GAUGAACGCUGGCGGCGUGCCUAACACAUGCAAGUCGAACGAAAAGACGAGGAGCUUGCGCCUUUGCCGGUGGCGGAGGGCGGGCGAGUAACACGUGGAUCACCUCCUUAUAUUUCUGGGAUAACAACGGAAAACCGGUGAUAAUACCGGAGAAUAUUUCGUACCGCGUGGUUCGAUGGUGAAUGAUGGCUUUGGUGUCAGUAAUAGCUGGUGCUGCGCCGUAUUAGCUAGUUGGUAAGGUCACGGCUUACCAAGGCAACGAGACGUAGCCGACCUGAGAGGGUGAUCGGCCACACGGGAACUGAGACACGGUCCAGACUCCUACGGGAGGCAGCAGUAGGGAAUCUGCCGCAAUGGGCGAAAGCCUGACGGAGCAACGCCGCGUGAGUGAUGAAGGUCUUCGGAUCGUAAAACCCUGUUAUUGGGGAAGAACAGACGUGGAAUGAAACGUGCCCGGCUUGACGGUACCGAAUCAAAAAGCAACGGCUAACUACGUG
rnacentral:rRNA from 1 species